CUUGGUCAUUUAGAGGAAGUAAAAGUCGUAACAAGGUCUCCGUUGGUGAACCAGCGGAGGGAUCAUUACCGAGUACUAUAACUCAUAACCCUUUGUGAACCUUUAUACCUGUUGCUUCGGCGGCGCGCCUCCCGGGGCGUGCCCGCCGGCAUUAUCAGAAUCUCUGUUCGAACCCGACGAUACAUCUGAGUGUUCUAAGCGAACUGUUAAAACUUUCAACAACGGAUCUCUUGGCUCCAGCAUCGAUGAAGAACGCAGCGAAACGCGAUAUGUAAUGUGAAUUGCAGAAUUCAGUGAAUCAUCGAAUCUUUGAACGCACAUGGCGCCUUCCAGUAUCCUGGGAGGCAUGCCUGUCCGAGCGUCGUUUCAACCCUCGAGCCCCCGUGGCCCGGCGUUGGGGAUCCGCGUCUGACGCGGUCCCUCAAAAACAGUGGCGGGCUCGCUAGUCACACCGAGCGUAGUAACUCUACAUCGCUAUGGUCGUGCGGCGGGUUCUUGCCGUAAAACCCCCAAUUUCUAAGGUUGACCUCGGAUCAGGUAGGAAUACCCGCUGAACUUAAGCAUAUCAAUAAGCGGAGGAAAAGAAACCAACAGGGAUUGCCCUAGUAACGGCGAGUGAAGCGGCAACAGCUCAAAUUUGAAAUCUGGCUUCGGCCCGAGUUGUAAUUUGUAGAGGAAACUUUUGGUGAGGCACCUUCUGAGUCCCUUGGAACAGGGCGCCAUAGAGGGUGAGAGCCCCGUAUAGUCGGAUGCCGAUCCAAUGUAAAGUUCCUUCGACGAGUCGAGUUGUUUGGGAAU
rnacentral:sRNA from 1 species